rnacentral:rRNA from 1 species
GACGAACGCUGGCGGCGUGCUUAACACAUGCAAGUCGAACGGAAAGGCCCUGCUUUUGUGGGGUGCUCGAGUGGCGAACGGGUGAGUAACACGUGAGUAACCUGCCCUUGACUUUGGGAUAACUUCAGGAAACUGGGGCUAAUACCGGAUAGGAGCUCCUGCUGCAUGGUGGGGGUUGGAAAGUUUCGGCGGUUGGGGAUGGACUCGCGGCUUAUCAGCUUGUUGGUGGGGUAGUGGCUUACCAAGGCUUUGACGGGUAGCCGGCCUGAGAGGGUGACCGGCCACAUAGGGACUGAGAUACGGCCCAGACUCCUACGGGGGGCAGCAGUGGGGAAUAUUGCACAAUGGGCGGAAGCCUGAUGCAGCAACGCCGCGUGCGGGAUGACGGCCUUCGGGUUGUAAACCGCUUUCGCCUGUGACGAAGCGUGAGUGACGGUAAUGGGUAAAGAAGCACCGGCUAACUACGUG